rnacentral:rRNA from 1 species
UACGGAGGAUGCAAGCGUUAUCCGGAUUUAUUGGGUUUAAAGGGUGCGCAGGCGGACUCUUAAGUCAGUGGUGAAAUCCUACAGCUUAACUGUAGAACUGCCAUUGAUACUGGGAGUCUAGAAUUUAGUUGAAGUGGCUGGAAUGUGUCAUGUAGCGGUGAAAUGCAUAGAGAUGACACAGAACACCGAUAGCGAAGGCAGGUCACUAAGCUAAUAUUGACGCUCAGGCACGAAAGCGUGGGGAU